rnacentral:rRNA from 1 species
GUGGGGAAUCUUGCGCAAUGGGCGAAAGCCUGACGCAGCCAUGCCGCGUGAAUGAUGAAGGUCUUAGGAUUGUAAAAUUCUUUCACCGGGGACGAUAAUGACGGUACCCGGAGAAGAAGCCCCGACUAACUUCGUGCCAGCAGCCGCGGUAAUACGAAGGGGGCUAGCGUUGCUCGGAAUUACUGGGCGUAAAGGGCGCGUAGGCGGACAGUUUAGUCAGAGGUGAAAGCCCAGGGCUCAACCUUGGAAUUGCCUUUGAUACUGGCUGUCUUGAGUACGGGAGAGGUGUGUGGAACUCCGAGUGUAGAGGUGAAAUUCGUAGAUAUUCGGAAGAACACCAGUGGCGAAGGCGACACACUGGCUCAUUACUGACGCUGAGGCGCGAAAGCGUGGGGAGCAAACAGGAUUAGAAACCCUUGUAGUCC